rnacentral:lncRNA from 1 species
UAAAAGCUCAAUGAGAUACAUAACAUGAUAGAGUCACUCUUAUACGUAUAAUACAUCAAAACAAUACGGCAUAUUUAUAAUUUACAUAAUUAACAAAAUCUGUCUAUUAGCCAAUAUGAAUUUUCAAUAACUUUGCUGCAUGGCAAUCUCUUCUUCACCCCCAUAUGCCUCUUCACUGAACUGAACCUCCCCUUCUCCUUACCCUUUAAUCGGCUCUCUCCACCCGAUGCGUUGCCACUCACUCUCCCUCCUCCACCUCAUCCUCCAUCAUCGUUUCAUAUACUCUCGCUCUCCUCGCUCAAUGAAUUGUCGUUUCCUCUCUCCUCUCCUUUGCUUCAUUUCCUCUCACCUUUCUGUUUCAUACGAUGGAUUCGUGUUUCACUGCCUAGAUCCUAAUCCAAAAUUAAUUAAACAGCAAUGCUCCCUGCUAUAUUAUCAUUAGCUCCCCUCUCCAACAUCCAUUGUGAUUUAUCCCUCUGAUACUAUUAUGUUAAUUUACCAUUACUGCAUUGUAGUUAAAUUUCCUCGAAAAUUUCCUUACCAUUCUCAUCCACAGCUGUCGCCACCGUCGUGAAUUGUAUCUAAGCAAAUUU